CUCUGGGCUGCCAACAAAGGCUCAGGGCGGAAAGAG
rnacentral:ncRNA from 1 species